UCGAGCGAACAGAAGGGAGCUUGCUCCCGGAUGUUAGCGGCGGACGGGUGAGUAACACGUGGGUAACCUGCCUGUAAGACUGGGAUAACUCCGGGAAACCGGAGCUAAUACCGGAUAGUUCCUUGAACCGCAUGGUUCAAGGAUGAAAGACGGUUUCGGCUGUCACUUACAGAUGGACCCGCGGCGCAGUAUCUAGUUGGUGGGGUAAUGGCUCACCAAGGCGACGAUGCGUAGCCGACCUGAGAGGGUGAUCGGCCACACUGGAGACUGANACACGGCCCAGACUCCUACGGGAGGCAGCAGUAGGGAAUCUUCCGCAAUGGACGAAAGUCUGACAGAGCAACGCCGCGUGAGUGAUGAAGGUUUUCGGAUCGGACAGCUCUGUUGAUGGGGAAGAACAAGUGCGAGAGUAACUGCUCGCACCUUGACGGUACCUAACCAGAAAGCCACGGCUAACUACGUGCCAGCAGCCGCGGUAAUACGUAGGUGGCAAGCGUUGUCCGGAAUUAUUGGGCGUAAAGGGCUCGCAGGCGGUUUCUUAAGUCUGAUGUGAAAGCCCCCGGCUCAACCGGGGAGGGUCAUUGGAAACUGGGAAACUUGAGUGCAGAAGAGGAGAGUGGAAUUCCACGUGUAGCGGUGAAAUGCGUAGAGAUGUGGAGGAACACCAGUGGCGAAGGCGACUCUCUGGUCUGUAACUGACGCUGAGGAGCGAAAGCGUGGGGAGCGAACAGGAUUAAAUACCCUGGUAGUCCACNCCGUAAACGAUGAGUGCUAAGUGUUAGGGGGUUUCCGCCCCUUAGUGCUGC
rnacentral:rRNA from 1 species